GUGUCAGCCGCCGCGGUAAUACAGAGGUCCCAAGCGUUACUGAGAAUCACUGGGUUUAAAGGGUGCGUAGGUGGUCCGUUAAGUCCGUUGUGAAAUCCCCGAGCUCAACUCGGGAACUGCUUCGGAUACUGGCGGACUUGAGGCCAGUAGGGGUCACUAGAACUGACGGUGGAGCGGUGAAAUGCGUAGAUAUCGUCAGGAAUGCCGGUGGUGAAGACGGGUGACUGGGCUGGUUCUGACACUGAGGCACGAAAGCGUGGGGAGCGAACGGGAUUAGAAACCCCCGUAGUCC
rnacentral:rRNA from 1 species